UACAGAGGUGGCAAGCGUUGUUCGGAUUUAUUGGGCGUAAAGGGUCCGUAGGCGGUUUGGAAAGUCGGAUGUGAAAUCCCACAGCUUAACUGUGGAACUGCAUUCGAAACUUCCAGACUGGAGUGUGAGAGGGGUAAAGAGAAUUCCUGGUGUAAGGGUGAAAUCUGCAGAGAUCAGGAAGAAUACCAGUCGCGAAGGCGCUUUACUGGCUCACAACUGACGCUGAGGGACGAAAGCUAGGGGAGCAAACGGG
rnacentral:rRNA from 1 species